rnacentral:rRNA from 1 species
AAUAGAUACCCCGGUAGUCCACGCCGUAAACGAUGAGUGCUAAGUGUUAGGGGGUUUCCACCCCUUAGUGCUGCAGCUAACGCAUUAAGCACUCCGCCUGGGGAGUACGGUCGCAAGACUGAAACUCAAAGGAAUUGACGGGGGCCCGCACAAGCGGUGGAGCAUGUGGUUUAAUUCGAAGCAACGCGAAGAACCUUACCAGGUCUUGACAUCCCGCUGACCGCUAUGGAGACAUAGCCUUCCCUUCGGGGACAGCGGUGACAGGUGGUGCAUGGUUGUCGUCAGCUCGUGUCGUGAGAUGUUGGGUUAAGUCCCGCAACGAGCGCAACCCUUGUCCUUAGUUGCCAUCAUUCAGUUGGGCACUCUAAGGAGACUGCCGUACAAAUACGGAGGAAGGUGGGGAUGACGUCAAAUCAUCAUGCCCCUUAUGACCUGGGCUACACACGUGCUACAAUGGACGGUACAAACGGGUCGCGAAGUCGCGAGACGGAGCCAAUCCGAAAAAACCGUUCUCAGUUCGGAUUGCAGGCUGCAACUCG